UUCGCUUAAACCUUGAUUCGUAAUUUAUUUAACAUAUUGAUGUGUAACUUCUCGCUGACAUUUUUCUCUCAUUUAUAUCAAUCGUAUGAAAAUCUGCAAUGAUCACGUUUAAAAUUAUCUGUUCAGCGGUAUGGAGACAAGGUCACGGCAGGGUGGCGAACGGCGCGGCUGCGGCGGCGCGGGCGCAGCGAGACGCGAAAGUGUCGCACUUUCACACGCCAGCGCAGCUCGAGGCCCGCAAGUGCCCGUAACGCGUGUGAUUAGAUGUGGGGCGAAGCAGGUCACGCGUCACAGAGCACAUCAGCACAGGUGCAUACCAUCUCAUGAUUAAAGUUGAAAAUAAUCGAAUUCUAUUUGCUUAUUGUGAGCACAGCAAGUCUGA